GGAGUUGAAGGAACGGAUCCUGAAAGGAGAGAUAGGUUGAUUGACCUCCUUGAUAUAGAUCUCCAGUGGCGAAUGCAUAAGGUAUCUGAUGGGCAACGUCGUCGGGUGCAAAUCUGCAUGGGCCUGUUGCAUCCUUUUAAGGUUCUCUUAUUAGAUGAGGUCACAGUUGACCUUGAUGUCGUCGCGAGGAUGGACCUUCUGGACUUCUUGAAGGA
rnacentral:misc_RNA from 1 species